CUUUAUUUUGUGAAGGUGGACAUACAUUAUUUUGUAAAGGUGGACAUACAUUAUUUUGUGAAGGUAGAUAUACAUUAUUUUGUA
rnacentral:antisense_RNA from 1 species